AAACGACUCUCGGCAACGGAUAUCUCGGCUCUCGCAUCGAUGAAGAACGUAGCGAAAUGCGAUACUUGGUGUGAAUUGCAGAAUCCCGUGAACCAUCGAGUCUUUGAACGCAAGUUGCGCCUGACGCCUUCUGGCUGAGGGCACGUCUGCCUGGGUGUCACGC
rnacentral:rRNA from 2 species